UACGGAGGGGGCUAGCGUUGUUCGGAAUUACUGGGCGUAAAGCGCACGUAGGCGGCUUUGUAGUUAGAGGUGAAAGCCCAGGGCUUAACCCUGGAAUUGCCUUUAAGACUGCAUCGCUAGAAUCGUGGAGAGGUGAGUGGAAUUCCGGAGUGUAGAGGUGAAAUUCGUAGAUAUUCGGAAGAACACCAGUGGCGAAGGCGACUCACUGGACACGAUUGACGCUGAGGUGCGAAAGCGUGGGGAG
rnacentral:rRNA from 1 species